GGCCACCACCAUCGUUUCUUAUCGAAGGAUUAUUAACAUUAGAAAUCCAAUUCGCCGAAGAUUAAGACAGAAAAUAUUGGUCUCAACUCAGAUCACUAGGGAUGUUUGAAUUGGGGAAGAAGAAAAACUGAAUCAUUGUUUGGGAGAGGGAAGAUGUGAUAUUUGGUUUUAUUGGAGCUAUCGUUUCCCAACAGAUACAUCUUACGGAUCUAGAAAUGAUGUAUUUAGAUCACACACCUAUCCACACCUGUAUAUCCAUAUGACUUUUUACAUUAGCUACAAUCACCAAUUUGUUUUGACAAUUUGUUCACAUGUAUAUGGAUACUCUUAUCAUUGCAUAGCACUUGGACACUCUCUUGAAUUUGAUGACGUUAAACUGAU
rnacentral:misc_RNA from 1 species